GAGCGGCGAACGGGUGAGUAACACGUGGGUGAUCUGCCUCGUACUCUGGGAUAAGCCUGGGAAACUGGGUCUAAUACCGGAUAGGACCAUUGGAUGCAUGUCUGGUGGUGGAAAGAUUUAUCGGUGCGAGAUGGGCCCGCGGCCUAUCAGCUUGUUGGUGGGGUAAUGGCCUACCAAGGCGACGACGGGUAGCCGACCUGAGAGGGUGACCGGCCACACUGGGACUGAGACACGGCCCAGACUCCUACGGGAGGCAGCAGUGGGGAAUAUUGCACAAUGGGCGGAAGCCUGAUGCAGCGACGCCGCGUGAGGGAUGACGGCCUUCGGGUUGUAAACCUCUUUCGACAGGGACGAAGCGCAAGUGACGGUACCUGUAUAAGAAGCACCGGCCAACUACGUGCCAGCAGCCGCGGUAAUACGUAGGGUGCGAGCGUUGUCCGGAUUUACUGGGCGUAAAGAGCUUGUAGGCGGUUCGUCGCGUCGAUUGUGAAAACUUGCAGCUCAACUGCAAGCUUGCAGUCGAUACGGGCGGACUAGAGUACUUCAGGGGAGACUGGAAUUCCU
rnacentral:rRNA from 1 species